GAUUUUUUAAUACUUUCUUAAUUUUUUA
rnacentral:tRNA from 2 species